rnacentral:rRNA from 1 species
GACGAACGCUGGCGGCGUGCUUAACACAUGCAAGUCGAACGAUGAACCACUUCGGUGGGGAUUAGUGGCGAACGGGUGAGUAACACGUGGGCAAUCUGCCCUUCACUCUGGGGCAAGCCCUGGAAACGGGGUCUAAUACCGGAUAACACUUCUGCUCUCAUGGGCAGGGGUUAAAAGCUCCGGCGGUGAAGGAUGAGCCC